rnacentral:lncRNA from 1 species
GUAUGAUAAAGUGUUCAUUUUAUAUCCUCAUAGUUCUCGUACAUAUGUGAAAUAAUAAUGUCAUGCUGGGCUUGAUUUUGAGAAGAAUUAUUUGACAAUUUAAGAUACGUUUAUGAUACAGAUUUCUUUAGGUGACAUAUUUAUGGCCUAAUUAACACCUUUGAUGGUCCUUAAUCUGUUGAUCACUUUAUCUUGGUAGUCUCAGCUUGGGAUAAUUAGUGUUGUCACUACGAUUUACACGGGUCAAUGUUUACUUUGCAAUUUCCUUCAAUCCAGACUAUUUGUAACCUUCGUUUCUAAAGGCUUUAAUAUUUCACUUUUAUUUUAAAAACCUCAAAUCCACGAAUUUAAAAACCCACAAACAUAUAAAUAUUGCUCAAACCACGAAAAUUGAUACCCACG